UAAAAUCUCUUUUAGAAGAGAGCAGUCAAACCCAUUAAAGAACGCUGUAAAAUCACAAUUUCAAACAGGCUCUUGAUUGAACAGUGGCCUUUUAAGAAAAACGACUACAUGCCUUUGUGUCCACGUUCUUUAUGAUACUCUUAAAUUAACUCAGCAGUAUGAGUGACACUUUAGCUCUUCUUUUGUUCUCCAUUUUGUUUGUUUAUGCUCAUGACUCUUGCACGUGCAGAGCGCUCUGAGCUCUCAUUGGUCAUAGCACUGAUGUGAUGGAAUCAAACAUGUCAGACUUUCUGUGAGGAGGUCGUGAGGCGUCCCAGAUGUGGCCUUGUUUGUUGUUCAUUAUGACAUAUUACACGGGAUAAAAUGAUCCAUUUUCUGGGCUGACGGGUCCAACAACCGUACAGCUGCUGGUUCGGACUGUAAACAUUCUUAUAUGGUGUCUGACCUCGGCAUAAUCAGAAACUUAGGGCGCGGUCACACCGUCAAUCUGUACCGUGCUGUGCUUGGCAAUGGUCAAAUGAACUGGACUUUAGGGGUGAAGCUAUGCGUGAGACAGCGCCCUUACAAAAACCUUUUCAGGUGGUAACUGGCAUGAAAACAUCUCACUGUUUCUUCCAGCAUCUCUCUUCAGACAUAUGGGUUUAAAAUGUGACCUGACAAAGAUGAACUGGCACUCAUUGUCCCCGUACUCGAGCUGUUUCUGUGUUCACGUGUGCAGAAAUGAAGGGAUGCUGAGGCCAUGGAUGGAUGGAUGGAUGGAAGAAGAGAUGAAUGGAUGAUGACGUCUCGAAAGACUGAUGUUCAUGAAAGAGUGAAGUUUUGUUGAACCCCGCGGUGGUUUCUCUCUCUGUUGUUUUUUUCCUGCCUCACAUUGUACGUUUGAAACAACCUAAACGAGACAUGACUGUCCCAGCCAGUAAACGCGAUUUAACUAUGACGAGACGGAUAAGAAGGUGACCCUCAGAUUGUACUUGGAAUCUUCACUUCCUGGUUUCAGAUGUGAAUGUGAAAAAGGGAGGGCAGCAAUCUUGAAAUGAAUUUAUUAUUUUUAUGUCACAAAACACACAUUUAUGCAGAUAUGGGGCGGCUCAGUGAAGGUGGUUGUUCUUUAUUUGGCAAGACUGUGCAGGUGAUCAGUAAAGGCUCAGAGUUCUUAAGAGUGACCCGUGCAUGAAGCAAUCCUAAUUCAGGGUUUGCGUCAUAAGUCAAACAGAAAAUAGUCACCUCUCAUGUUGUUUGGAUACGUCUGGUGUGAAUGCAAGCAAAACACACAGCGAUGGGAGUGUGAGCACGGUAAACAGUCCGGGAACAUUAUUUAAAAAGAAAUCAUCUGACAUGUUUAUACCAGUUGGAGAUGGGGGUCUAAAGAUGGUCCUCAGGCCUUAACUCGUUCACAGCUUUUAUCCAUUAAUCUCCGGAUAGCUCACCUGUACUUGUUCAUAGCAACCACGGCUCAGAUGUGAAGAAGGUGGUAUCAGGUCAAACGUGCCGCCUUCCUCGUCUCACUUCAAAUCCUCCGUUUUUAGAGUGAAGUACUUUAUUUAUGUGAUUUUAACCACAGUUACGUCUUACAACUCUCUCAAACUACUUCAUUCAUACAAGAGAACUUCUGGAAUGACGUUAUUAGUGAUUAUUUACACAUGCUAUAUAUUUAACAGUUCAAUGACUCGCAGUCUAAUUAUUCUUUCUUUUUGUUCCUCAGGGUGAAAUGAAGCUUUAGAAUCUCAUAACCCACAUACAGUUUAUCCACAAAGCACAGCAAUAAUAAUGAAUUGGUUCCUUUGCAGCCUCUCUGCAGGCCGCCGCUUACCUAAAACCUGCACGUGACUCCUGAUGACAAACGUUUUAUAACGAGACUGUUUCUAUUCUCUUUGUGUUUGGAGUCCGUGCUCCACUUUCAGCAGCAUUUUUGCACUGAAACUGAUUGUUGUUGUUUUUUCCUUUAUUCUUUUUUGUCCUUUUUUUUUUUUUUUUUUUAAGAGUUGCCAUGUAAAUGCCACUGUAUAUACUGCAUAUUUUGUAAAGAAUAUCACAGCAGCGCGUCUGCUACAAACAGAACUGGAGGUUGACAUUGUGACAUGCAAGAUUAGAAUGUGUUGCUUCCUUGGCGACUGUGUGAGGAGCUCAGUGAUUGGUACCUUCUCUCCUCUCAUUUGCAUGGUUACCAUACAAAAUAUGCUUUAUUGUGUUCAAGCAUAAACCCUGUGUAAAAAAUGUGAAGUAUGUAAAUACAAAUACAAAAGAUUUCAAGUGACUGCUUAUUGGUAUUAUCCAAAAUAAAGGACGAUUCCAAAUAG